CUGAUGAGCACAUGAACACCUAGGAUAUGCAGAGAUACAGAACAAACUUCACAGCCCCACCCUUUAACAUCAAGAACGUUCUUUUUCUCUUGAAGAAGCCAGCAGGCAUCUUGCAUCAAUACAGUGUAGACACACUGUUUUUUGUCUCCUUGUUGUUCAGGGCUGCUCCAUCCACAUUGCCAUCCUGUACUUGGCAUCAUCUGCGUUGUCAUCUGUUUACUACCACGUUUGUAGUUGUGAAUAGAAGCUUAAAGCCUUUGUUCUUUUACAGGAUUUUAGCUUAUGGCAGAGUUUCAGUGAUGGUCACAGCUCUGUGCAGCCGCAGGUGGAUGUGCAUGGCUUGUAGGCCAGGAAUGGUCCUCAUAAAGUACAAGGCUCUGCAUAAGGUUUUGCUUACAUCUGAUAUAUCUAAUGUUCUGGACCAGUUAAAUUCCACCCCAGCAGCUCAUCACAGGGCUGUUGGCCCUGCCAGGCAAGGCUGAGCACAGUCUGUGGGCAGUACAGCGUGCACGGUGGAUGCUCUGAAACCCAGACAACGAGAAAAGUCCUUGUACUAAGAUGUUGACAACUCGUAUUAGAGUGAGUAAUGUGCUGGGAUGCAUGCCAGCCUCCUAGACCUUCACGUUAUGGCUGCAGCGUAAGCAAUUUCAAUGCCAGUUAAUUGCACUUGAAAACACUGUGGUGGUUGUGGUAUCUAAACACAGAAUAGGCGGAG
rnacentral:lncRNA from 1 species